CUCUCAUAGGUAGAAUUGUACUAAGACUGGAACAGAAAUUAGCAUGGACCCUAAGCAAGGAUGGCAUAAAUUUGUGAAGGGUUCCAUCAAUUUUU
rnacentral:snRNA from 1 species